GAACAAUGACGAGUCUAUCCCGAACCUGCAUUGUGAUAACAAAACUAUAUGGAUCUGACUGCUGAGUU